AUUGAACGCUGGCGGCAUGCCUUACACAUGCAAGUCGAACGGCAGCGGACCUUCGGGUGCCGGCGAGUGGCGAACGGGUGAGUAAUAUAUCGGAACGUACCUUUCAGUGGGGGGAUAACGUAGCGAAAGUUACGCUAAUACCGCAUAUUCUGUGAGCAGGAAAGCAGGGGAUCGCAAGACCUUGCGCUGAUUGAGCGGCCGAUAUCAGAUUAGCUAGUUGGUGAGGUAAAGGCUCACCAAGGCGACGAUCUGUAGCGGGUCUGAGAGGAUGAUCCGCCACACUGGAACUGAGACACGGUCCAGACUCCUACGGGAGGCAGCAGUGGGGAAUUUUGGACAAUGGGCGCAAGCCUGAUCCAGCCAUGCCGCGUAGAGUGAAGAAGGGCCUACGGU
rnacentral:rRNA from 1 species